GACGAAGGGGCUAGGCGUUGUUCGGAAUUACUGGGCGUAAAGCGAGAUGUAGGUGGUUGUCCAAGUUGGAUGUGAAAGCCUUGAGCUCAACAUCAAGAAACGUGCAUUCAGGACUGGGCGGCUAGAGGACCGGAGAGGAUAGUGGAAUUCCCAGUGGUAGUGGUGGAAAUACGUAGAGAUUGGGAAGAACACCCGUGGCGAAGGCGGCCAUCUGGACCAGCACUGACGCUGAGGCACGGAAAGCGUGGGGAGCAACAGG
rnacentral:rRNA from 1 species